rnacentral:rRNA from 1 species
GAGUUUGAUCAUGGCUCAGGAUGAACGCUAGCGGGAGGCUUAACACAUGCAAGCCGAGGGGUAUAGUUAGCUUGCUAACUAGAGACCGGCGCACGGGUGCGUAACGCGUAUGCAACUUGCCCUACUGAAAAGGAUAGCCCUUCGAAAGGAGGAUUAAUACUUUAUAACAGAUUUAAUGGCAUCAUUAGAUUUUGAAAGAUUUAUCGCAGUAGGAUAGGCAUGCGUAAGAUUAGUUAGUUGGUGAGGUAACGGCUCACCAAGACGAUGAUCUUUAGGGGGCCUGAGAGGGUGAACCCCCACACUGGUACUGAGACACGGACCAGACUCCUACGGGAGGCAGCAGUGAGGAAUAUUGGACAAUGGGUGGAAGCCUGAUCCAGCCAUCCCGCGUGUAGGAUGACGGCCUUAUGGGUUGUAAACUACUUUUAUCUGGGGAUAAACCUACUUACGUGUAAGUAGCUGAAGGUACCAGAAGAAUAAGCACCGGCUAACUCCGUGCCAGCAGCCGCGGUAAUACGGAGGGUGCAAGCGUUAUCCGGAUUUAUUGGGUUUAAAGGGUCCGUAGGCGGAUUAAUCAGUCAGUGGUGAAAUCUCAUAGCUUAACUAUGAAACUGCCAUUGAUACUGUUAGUCUUGAGUGAUGUUGAAGUUGCUGGAAUGUGUAGUGUAGCGGUGAAAUGCUUAGAUAUUACGCAGAACACCAAUUGCGAAGGCAGGUGACUAAACAUUAACUGACGCUGAUGGACGAAAGCGUGGGGAGCGAACAGGAUUAGAUACCCUGGUAGUCCAUGCCGUAAACGAUGGAUACUUGCUGUUGGGCUUUCGGGUUCAGUGGCUAAGCGAAAGUUAUAAGUAUCCCACCUGGGGAGUACGUUCGCAGAAUGAAACUCAAAGGAAUUGACGGGG